GGAAGUAAAAGUCGCAACAAGGUUUCCGUAGGUGAACCUGCGGAAGGAUCAUUAUUGUAUAACCGAGGUGCGAGGGCUGUCGCUGACCCGAAAGGUCGUGCACGCCCGAGUGCCCUCACCCACAUCCAUCUCACCCCUAUGUGCACCACCGCGUGGGUCCCCCUUUGGCUUGUUCGGAGGGGGGCUUACGUUUUCACACAAACUUUGUAUGCAGUGUAGAAUGUAUUUUUUGUUUUUGCGAUCACGCAAUCAAUACAACUUUCAACAACGGAUCUCUUGGCUCUC
rnacentral:misc_RNA from 1 species